UUUGCACUCUUUGGUGUUUUCCAGUAAUUUAUUCUUUUUUUGUUGUUGUUGUUCUGUUGAUUUUACAGUUGUCUACUCAAUGGGUCACAGUUGUUCCUGCUAUACUCACCAUUCUUAGAUGACAUGCUACCGCCUUUCGUGUGACACGUUUAGCAACACAUUUACAUUUAAAUGGCUCUGGACGGCUGUAUGGACUGCAUGUGGCCAUUGUGAUGCUAAGAAAAAAAAUACACAGAAAGGACUGCUCAGUGGAUCAA